GGAGGGAGCUAGCGUUGUUCGGAAUUACUGGGCGUAAAGCGUGCGUAGGCGGUUAUUCAAGUCAGAGGUGAAAGCCCGGGGCUCAACCCCGGAACGGCCUUUGAAACUAGAUAGCUAGAAUCUUGGAGAGGUUAGUGGAAUUCCGAGUGUAGAGGUGAAAUUCGUAGAUAUUCGGAAGAACACCAGUGGCGAAGGCGACUAACUGGACAAGUAUUGACGCUGAGGUACGAAAGCGUGGGGAGCAAACAGGAUUAGAUACCCUGGUAGUCCACGCCGUAAACGAUGAUAACUAGCUGUCCGGGCACUUGGUGUUUGGGUGGCGCAGCUAACGCAUUAAGUUAUCCGCCUGGGGAGUACGGUCGCAAGAUUA
rnacentral:rRNA from 1 species